CAGUAGCCACGGUAAUACGAGGGGGGCAAGCGUUGUUCGGAAUUAUUGGGCGUAAAGGGUGCGUAGGCGGUUUGGCAAGUUUGGUGUGAAAUCUUCGGGCUCAACUCGAAGUCUGCAUCAAAACCUGCCGGGCUUGAGUAUGGGAGAGGUGAGUGGAAUUUCCGGUGUAGCGGUGAAAUGCGUAGAUACCGGAAGGAACACCUGUGGCGAAGGCAGCCAUCUGGCCUAAUACUGACGCUGAGGUACGAAAGCAUGGGGAGCAAACAGGAUUAGAUACCCCGGUAGUCCCUGUCUCUUAUAA
rnacentral:rRNA from 1 species